AGAGCAGCGCGCGGGGCAGACCUCCGCGGGUCCCCCGGCGCUUCGGUCUCCGGAGACGCCCGGCCUCCUGGAGGGUUCGGCUUGUCCUCCUCUGGCGCCCGGCUCCCUCUGGCGGCCGGGCUGGCAGGACCUCAGCGCCCAGCCCUUCCGCCUUGUUACGUCCAGGGUCUCACUCUGUGUCUCAGGCUGGAGUACAGUGGUGCAAUCGUAGAUGGCUGCAGCCCUCGACCUCCUGGGCUCAAGUGAUCCUCCUGCCUUAGCCUGUUGAGUAGCUGGGAGUACAGAUGCACACCACCACACCCAGCCUAGAAUGAAGAAACCUGCAGUUGGGAAGCAUGAAUUUACCACCUAUUAAGAAUUGUGGCUUGCAUUGUAAGAGGAGCCUGUGAAUUCAGAGGCAAGUCUGCUGAGGACCGAAUGUUCCUGUCCAUAAAAACAGAAGUCUGGCCUGGGCUCCUCUCCUGGGUGAAUUUGCAGUGCCAGAUCCUUUCUAUCAGUUUGGUUUUGUUUCUUGUAUCUCUGGGAAGGCAGGCAGACAACACGGUCACCUGUGAAUGCAGCUACAAUUGGCUUAGCUGCCUCACUGAUAAAUGUGCCCCCAGUAAGCUACAAAGGGAUUACCAGCGUUCUCAGCAGCUAAAGGAACUGGUGAAGAUUUCCCCAGCAAAAAGUAGAAGCUCAGUGUUUCAUAGAUGAAGACUGGGGAGAUUGCAAAAGACCCAUCCAGCAGUGGUUCUCAGACCUCAGUGUGCAUCAGAAUCACCUGGAGGGCUUGUGAAAACACGUAUUGCUGGGCCACACCCCCAGAAUUUCUGGAUCAGUAAAGCUGGGAUUCUUAGUUUGAGUAGCCAACUUGCAGAAUACAAUAGAAUUUUGGGAGGAGCCCCUCGAUGCCUGGAUUUACUGUUGGAGAGACAGUACAAUAUACACCAGAUGACUUAUCUGUGAACCAUGGAAACAUUUGGAAAAGCCUACUUCAUGCUUUGAACAGAAGAGUUUUAUCAGUUUUAAAUGUUUCUUCAUUUCUAUAGCUUCCUUUAUCUGAGGAGCUUAAGCCAUUUUGUAGAGGCAUUAAGUAUUGCCUCAGUCCUAAAUAAUAUGUGAGACAAGGUGUGAGGAAUAUAGAGAUUCAUAAAAUAAUCCCCAUCUUCAAGGAACUCACAGUCAGGAAGAACACAGCCUGCAACACAAAUAACUGCAAUAUAGUAGAAGUGCCAAUAGGAGCUCUAUGAAGGGUGUGAAACAGGAAAAGCUACAUAGAGGAAAUGGCAGACACUCUGUGGAUUGUGACCUCUUGGUGGGCCAUGAAAUCAGUUUGGGGGUUUGAGAGCAUCAUUCUUUUAAUAAAACAGAAGAGAAUCAUCUGCAAUAAGGAACCCAUGGAUGAAUACCAUCUGGUCCUGGUGACUUACUGCACAGAGUCCCUCAAGUUGCUCCAUACCUUUCUCCUAAGAGACUGAAGAAUCUCUGACAAGGCCAUUCUCUGCUUUGCCAUAAAAUGUGUCCUUGGAACAAGAAUUUCCCCAUUGUCUUCUUCAAUAAAUACUGAUUCAAAGUA
rnacentral:lncRNA from 1 species